CUCCAGUGUUAUUUGCUGAGAAAGCCCCGGAAGGUGUAUUAGACAGUCCCAGCUGCACUCUGGACGGCUCAGAGCUCAAGUGUGUAUCUUCAAUGAUAGUCAGGUCGCUUCAUCUAUAUAAAACACGUGCGCAACUUAAUUAGAACGUCUUCUGAGCUCGUCAUCUCUCUGGUGUGUUCUUAAACCACACGAAUGCAACUUUAAUUAAAAAUAAGUAGGCCACGAUUAAUUUAAGAAAUCUUAACAAUGAUAUUGUAUGGGACCAUAAAGGGAUUAGAGAGUGUAGAACGAGAAAAGAGUUUAUACUAUGUGCUAAUUAAGUUUACCAUCCCACUAAUGGCAUAUUCACGGAAGCAUACCCACGCUGGAUGCUAUUUGGCUGUCUCCUGAACCCUAGAUCUGGUCCAAUGAAGAACCAAUCCCAUCUACAUCUUGGAUGAACUGAAGUCUGCUGGUCUACAUUACUCUUGAUGGCUUGUUUUCCUCCUUUGAUGUUGCAGCGCUCUUAAAAGUCUGUCCGAAGCCGUAAGGGGAACGAAGCACUUCAUAUCGAUGUACUGCUGUAGUCCUCAUACACUCUGCUUGCGAUCCAUAUUCCAUUGAUUCUCUAUGACUCUUCACACUUGUUAGAUGCUCGUGAAUUGCAGGCCCUCUGCAGUAAAAGACUCUGUUCUGUUCGUCUCUCCAGUGAAUCGAAAUUCUCUCGGUGUGUAACAUGUCUGUAUGCUUCAUAGGCUUAAUAUUUAAGGGAGAGUCAGCAUCAAAGAAUACACAACUGCUGCAUUUUACACGGUGUUGGUCGCUGUUGUGCGCAGUUUAUUCCAUCGUUAGUUUUUAUAUAAAGGGUUCAGAGAUCUUUUUCGUCAUGCUUUACUCCCACUGAGGCUUUGGCUUCCAGCUGCCAAGCCGAAUGAAUGCUCCUGAUUGAGAAAUGGUUGAUCCGGUUAUAAUAGCAACCUGGGAUCCUGGGUGUUUACACUCUGCCUGUGAGACAUACCGUAAAGGAAUGAGUACAGAAUUCCCGACUGGAGCCCGUCAGGACUGGGCUGGGGUGAUUGUGAUCCAUGAAGAGCAAGGGCUGAUUGUAGUGAAGUGUUUCAUUCCAAACACUUUCUUGGGUCGAUGACUCUGGAAGCUUGUUUUUACCAAUGGGAUAAAACAAGUCAAUAAAUAAAAAAGUUAACUUUAGUUUACUAAGUCAAAAUACAGACUUUUUUUUCUCACAGUUUUUCAGAAUUGCUUCCAUUUUAUCUUAUUUUAUUUUAUUUUAUUUGACAUGUUUCUGCAUGUUGGUUGGACCACUUUUUAUAAGAGAUUUUUUUUACUAUUUGGUGUUACAAAAGGGCUCUGUGUGAUAUUAGUGAUGCAAAUGUAUUGUUUAUAUUUCUUUUUAAAUAAUCUGUGUGUGCUGUUGUUUUAGUUGGCUUGUUUUGUAAAAUGAAUUGUGCAUAUGUAAGUAGGAAUUGAUUGAAUAAUGUUGCCGAUAACUGAAAUAAAGGUGUGUUGACAUUCAAUUCUCUCUCUCAGUAAGAAAUAAUAAUGCAGUUUCAUUCUUUUAAUGAGUUUUUGUAUUCAUUAUACUAUCAAAACAAUUGUAUCAACCUGACAUUUUUGAGUUCAUGCCCCAAAAAUAUCAAAAUGAAUUUUAAUGCAG